rnacentral:rRNA from 1 species
CCUUUUGUAUAAUGGGUCAGCGACUUAUAUUCUGUAGCAAGGUUAACCGAAUAGGGGAGCCGAAGGGAAACCGAGUCUUAACUGGGCGUUAAGUUGCAGGGUAUAGACCCGAAACCCGGUGAUCUAGCCAUGGGCAGGUUGAAGGUUGGGUAACACUAACUGGAGGACCGAACCGACUAAUGUUGAAAAAUUAGCGGAUGACUUGUGGCUGGGGGUGAAAGGCCAAUCAAACCGGGAGAUAGCUGGUUCUCCCCGAAAGCUAUUUAGGUAGCGCCUCGUGAAUUCAUCUCCGGGGGUAGAGCACUGUUUCGGCAAGGGGGUCAUCCCGACUUACCAACCCGAUGCAAACUGCGAAUACCGGAGAAUGUUAUCACGGGAGACACACGGCGGGUGCUAACGUCCGUCGUGAAGAGGGAAACAACCCAGACCGCCAGCUAAGGUCCCAAAGUCAUGGUUAAGUGGGAAACGAUGUGGGAAGGCCCAGACAGCCAGGAUGUUGGCUUAGAAGCAGCCAUCAUUUAAAGAAAGCGUAAUAGCUCACUGGUCGAGUCGGCCUGCGCGGAAGAUGUAACGGGGCUAAACCAUGCACCGAAGCUGCGGCAGCGACGCUGAUGCGUUGUUGGGUAGGGGAGCGUUCUGUAAGCCUGCGAAGGUGUGCUGUGAGGCAUGCUGGAGGUAUCAGAAGUGCGAAUGCUGACAUAAGUAACGAUAAAGCGGGUGAAAAGCCCGCUCGCCGGAAGACCAAGGGUUCCUGUCCAACGUUAAUCGGGGCAGGGUGAGUCGACCCCUAAGGCGAGGCCGAAAGGCGUAGUCGAUGGGAAACAGGUUAAUAUUCCUGUACUUGGUGUUACUGCGAAGGGGGGACGGAGAAGGCUAUGUUGGCCGGGCGACGGUUGUCCCGGUUUAAGCGUGUAGGCUGGUUUUCCAGGCAAAUCCGGAAAAUCAAGGCUGAGGCGUGAUGACGAGGCACUACGGUGCUGAAGCAACAAAUGCCCUGCUUCCAGGAAAAGCCUCUAAGCAUCAGGUAACAUCAAAUCGUACCCCAAACCGACACAGGUGGUCAGGUAGAGAAUACCAAGGCGCUUGAGAGAACUCGGGUGAAGGAACUAGGCAAAAUGGUGCCGUAACUUCGGGAGAAGGCACGCUGAUAUGUAGGUGAAGUCCCUUGCGGAUGGAGCUGAAAUCAGUCGAAGAUACCAGCUGGCUGCAACUGUUUAUUAAAAACACAGCACUGUGCAAACACGAAAGUGGACGUAUACGGUGUGACGCCUGCCCGGUGCCGGAAGGUUAAUUGAUGGGGUUAGCCGCAAGGCGAAGCUCUUGAUCGAAGCCCCGGUAAACGGCGGCCGUAACUAUAACGGUCCUAAGGUAGCGAAAUUCCUUGUCGGGUAAGUUCCGACCUGCACGAAUGGCGUAAUGAUGGCCAGGCUGUCUCCACCCGAGACUCAGUGAAAUUGAACUCGCUGUGAAGAUGCAGUGUACCCGCGGCAAGACGGAAAGACCCCGUGAACCUUUACUAUAGCUUGACACUGAACAUUGAGCCUUGAUGUGUAGGAUAGGUGGGAGGCUUUGAAGUGUGGACGCCAGUCUGCAUGGAGCCGACCUUGAAAUACCACCCUUUAAUGUUUGAUGUUCUAACGUGGACCCGU